rnacentral:rRNA from 1 species
GCCAGCAGCUAUAUCGCCCCGCAGCUCAUCACUGGCAGCCGUCUGGAGCUCAGCAGUGUGAGCCUGGUCAGUACCUGGAUGGGAGACCUCCUGGGAAAGCUAAGGUUGCUGCUGGAA